rnacentral:rRNA from 1 species
AGUGAAUGAUGGGGGUAGGCCUAACACAUGCAAGUCGAACGGCAGCACAGUAAGAGCUUGCUCUUACGGGUGGCGAGUGGCGGACGGGUGAGGAAUACAUCGGAAUCUACUUUUUCGUGGGGGAUAACGUAGGGAAACUUACGCUAAUACCGCAUACGACCUACGGGUGAAAGCAGGGGAUCUUCGGACCUUGCGCGAUUGAAUGAGCCGAUGUCGGAUUAGCUAGUUGGCGGGGUAAAGGCCCACCAAGGCGACGAUCCGUAGCUGGUCUGAGAGGAUGAUCAGCCACACUGGAACUGAGACACGGUCCAGACUCCUACGGGAGGCAGCAGUGGGGAAUAUUGGACAAAGGGCGCAAGCCUGAUCCAGCCAUACCGCGUGGGUGAAGAAGGCCUUCGGGUUGUAAAGCCCUUUUGUUGGGAAAGAAAAGCAGCAGGUUAAUACCCCGCUGUUCUGACGGUACCCAAAGAAUAAGCACCGGCUAACUUCGUG